UGCUUUUUAUGAAACUUUUAUCAAUAUAUUUGUGACAUUUUCCUUAUUAAAAUGAGACUAAACAUGACAUAAUUUGGGACAUACUUACCUGUAAAUUCAAAUAUUUUUCUUAUGUUGAUAUUUUGUGUAAAAUGCGCGGUAAACGAACGACUAAUGACACAUCGGGGAAUUUCGGUUUUCUUCGGUGCUAUUCGGGGAUCACGUGAUACGCCUGUCAGUCGAAAUUCGGAGACUACUAUGGCUUUAUGAUAUUCGGGAUUUUAUUACAAGUAAAUAUGCACCGAAUUACGUCGUGUUUGGACUCAUUUUAAUCGGGAAAGUGUUACCAAUAUGUUGGUAAAAGUAGUAUAAUAAAAGGACUGAGAAUAAAGAAAGUUUGCAACGUAUUAUUAUUGAAAACAAUGGAACAGGUCUUUAUCGCGUUCUUUAACAGAUCACGUUACAUUUCUUCGAGUCGUCUUCCCGCCAGUAGUGAAAUUGAAACUUUUUAGCUCAAAUCUUUAUAGAAUUUUUUUACACGAUAAACUAAAUUUUCAGAAGCGGAGAAGGUAUUAGACACGACGCGAUAAACGACAAACAGUUAUUUGCAUCAAGCCGCAGGAACGCAGAUGUAACGCAAUCAUCGUUGUGUUAUCAUAAUGACCAAGAAAUAUCGCAAUUACACUGCACGCUAUCCGAUUUGAUAGCAUAUCCUGUAAACAAAUUAUUGCGACUGCACAGGAAUGAUUAUCUAGAUUUACCAUCGAAGAAGAUUCGAAGAUAAGCAAAUAGUUUCAAUGUUCCGAACAUGGAACAGUUCAGUAAUUAUCGGUUUAAUCGUCCGGCUGUUAAGUUUCGACAUUCGAAGGUAAAAGUUUGAAGAUAACUUCGUAUCUCUCGAAAGAUUACUUUCUAGAAGAGCCGAGUAAAAUGGAAAAAAAUAAAACACGUAAUCGGUCGCGGUAUAUUGCAAGGCUUUUAAAUAAGCAGCGUCGAAAAUGAAUACCUCUUGCAGUUUUAAUUUCACGUUAAACAGCGACGGAACGAGAGCACCGAUUCACAUCUUUUAAUUAGUAGAUUUCCACGGAAAUUUUAAUGGUUUUGCACGAGAAGCAGUAGAUCAAAUUUCGCGUACGCGUUCAAACAAUAUUAACUUAAUCACGUUGCUGAAGAUGAAUACCACCUGGGUCUGGUAUUGCAGCAUCUUUUAAUUAGUAAUAUAAAUCGACGCUGAAAAUUCUGUUGCAAUAUUUUAAUGGCUUCUUUAAUACACCAUGGAAGAACCAGCAUUGUUACACAAACUCGUGAUAAAAAUUCAUGGAAUCAGGAAAAUUUUUGUACAUACAAAAAUUUAAAUUUUAUAACUGUUAUUGAUAGACUUUUCCAUUAGAAGUUGAGGGUAGGUUAAAGUAUAUGGAUUGUGAGGAAUUUAGGGGUAUUUAAAAUUCUGUUCUAAUUUGAGGAUUUAAGAAAUGUAGUCAUAAAGAAAUUUAAGAGUCUAGUUAUUAAUAUAGGGAUUUUUGAACUGUGGUUAUGAAGAUUAAAAUCUAAUGGUACUCAACCAUAUUUUUCAUUUUUAUAAUACAUAUAAUCGAGGAAAACUAAAAAUCGAAAAAACGAAAGAGUGUGAAGAUGUUUAGAAAGUGGAAAGUGAAGGAUGAUAUAUGAUUUAACACUCUAUCGCGUUAAUUCAACGUGAAUUGAUAUCGAUGUCGAAGUUCACUGUUGUUCCAUUCGGUAGAACGGUUUUCACGUAUUCGCGGGUUGUUUUUUUCCGCAACCGAGCUUCGAUUCUCUCCGACUGUCGAGAAAAACACCGGCUUUCGAGCUUUUAUCGAGAUAUUGCCGCGCAGCGAGAUAAGACUGCCAGGAGGCAAUUGCAUUAUUCCCUUUCGCGAAACGAGCUUUCAUGAUACACGGUGAGAAGAAUGUUGUGAAUCGAUUAACCCACGGAAUUACGCUUUCCGUUGGAGACCGUAUCACCUUUUUUGAUUAAACUUAGAAACUGGUUAAUCAUUGCGUAAUCGUGAAAUGUGGUGACUGGUGAGAUGUCAUGACAUAAAAGUAUCACAAAAUGGCGCUUGUGGAGCGUCAACUUAAAAUAUAAGGUUUAAUGAAGAAGACUAUAUUAAUGUUUCAUCAAGACUUUUACUACAAAAUGGCUGCUGACUAAUUAUAGUAAGCGAUGGCUGAUUUUGAAGCUCGUCGCGUUUGAUGAAAUAUGACGUCAUAAAAGUAUCACAAAAUGGCGCCUGUGGUAUAUUAACUUCAAGUUUAAGGUUUAAUGAAGAAGCCUAUAUGAAUAUUUCAUCAAGAUUUUUACUACAAAAUGGCUGCUGACUAAUUAUAGUAAGUGAUGGCUGAUUUUGAAGCUCGUCGCAUUUGAUGAAAUAUGACGUCAUAAAAGUAUCACAAAAUGGCGCCUGUGGUAUAUUAACUUCAAGUUUAAGGUUUAAUGAAGAAGCCUAUAUGAAUAUUUCAUCAAGAUUUUUACUACAAAAUGGCUGCUGACUAAUUAUAGUAAGUGAUGGCUGAUUUUGAAGCUCAUCGCGUUUGAUGAAAUAUGACGUCAUAAAAGUAUCACAAAAUGGCGCCUGUGGUAUAUUAACUUCAAGUUUAAGGUUUAAUGAAGAAGCCUAUAUGAAUAUUUCAUCAAGAUUUUUACUACAAAAUGGCUGCUGACUAAUUAUAGUAAGUGAUGGCUGAUUUUGAAGCUCAUCGCGUUUGAUGAAAUAUGACGUCAUAAAAGUAUCACAAAAUGGCGCCUGUGGUAUAUUAACUUCAAGUUUAAGGUUUAAUGAAGAAGCCUAUAUGAAUAUUUCAUCAAGAUUUUUACUACAAAAUGGCUGCUGACUAAUUAUAGUAAGUGAUGGCUGAUUUUGAAGCUCGUCGCGUUUGAUGAAAUAUGACGUCAUAAAAGUAUCACAAAAUGGCGCCUGUGGUAUAUCAACUUCAAUUUUAAGGUUUAAUGAAGAAGCCUAUAUGAAUAUUUCAUCAAGAUUUUUACUACAAAAUGGCUGCUGACUAAUUAUAGUAAGUGAUGGCUGAUUUUGAAGCUCGUCGCGUUUGAUGAAAUAUGACGUCAUAAAAGUAUCACAAAAUGGCGCCUGUGGUAUUUCAACUUCAAUUUUAAGGUUUAAUGAAGAAGCCUAUAUGAAUAUUUCAUCAAGAUUUUUACUACAAAAUGGCUGCUGACUAAUUAUAGUAAGUGAUGGCUGAUUUUGAAGCUCGUCGCGUUUGAUGAAAUAUGACGUCAUAAAAGUAUCACAAAAUGGCGCCUGUGGUAUAUUAACUUCAAGUUUAAGGUUUAAUGAAGAAAACCGUAUGAAUGUUUUUGUACAAAAUGUCUUGCUAAUUAUAGCAAGUGAUUUUGAAGAACAUACUCUCCCAAUAAUUAUGAUGACACAAAGCUAACCUAAAAUAAUACUCACAGUAUAUUAAUUUUUAAUUUAAAGUUCGACUGAGAAGACUAUGUACUCAACUAAAACAUCAGAUUCUAAAUGAUGUAAAAUUUGAAAUAAUUUAACAUGACACAUCGAUUCAAGGAAAAUACGAACACCUCGUUCAGAUUUGAAUGAAAAAAUGGCUCUGCAGCAAAAAAUACAAGAGUACAGAUAAUUAUCGUAGCACGGAUUUGAUCGCGAAACCUGUUUACGAAUCACAUUUUCUCGAGAACCCUGGUAAUUACUGGUAAAAGGAAAACAGGAUAAAAAUGGAUAACAAAAAUCCGAUAGGGUAGCGAGCACGGAAAUCCUUCUCUCCUCCUAGCUGGAAAACGUGUAAAACGUUUUUUUUUUCUCGAUGCGUCUAAAUUGCUACGCUUCCAGCUGACCCAGUUUCCACGCAGAAGCUGUCUACGUCACACUGCAAAUUAUGUUGUGCAUAAGGGACCCUUGGUAAUCUCGUACACCCGAUCGUCUCUGUGUCUACCGUUCGGAUGAUCGUUUAAUCCCGUUUAGGGCGAGCUAUACUAAUUUUUACUUUUGUUCGAUUUUCCAAAUUUUUAGAUAUUCUCUUUUCCAAAUUUUCUGAUCCCCG